rnacentral:lncRNA from 1 species
CACCCCAAACUUUUUUGGUCUGACUCUGCCACUAACCGCCGUGACUAUAACUUGACCAUACUGUCAGUCUGUCACACUACAACUAGUCUCAAUCCUUGAGUUCCUACCAGAAACAUUGUCUCUACAAACAAGUUGAUCCCGUCAUGAACCACCAAAGGUUCUCCCUGUUAGCUUGUUGGUGCUACUACGAAAGCAAGGGCCUUGUGAUGUUGGUGGAAUGAGUGUGAGGGGACAUUGAACAUUUGAUAAAUGAGAACAUCUAGACCGCGGACAUUGAAGACCUUUGAAAUUGUAUGGGGCAGGGAUAGAGGAUGUUGGUUUAGGGAGAUACAAUGGUG